rnacentral:lncRNA from 1 species
GAAUGAGUUCGUUCUUGAGCUUAUGGAUCAUAAAUUUUAUAUUCUUCAACAUACUUAUGAAACCCUAAUUUUUUAGGUUCAUUAUCAACGUUCCAUAUUCGCCCAGAAAUCAUAGUUAAUUACGAUUUCCACGGUUAACAUCUUUUACUAAAUAUUUUGCCAUAACUUCGCUAUAGCAUAUAUUUACUCUGUUCCAAUUGGAACAUAUCCAUAACUCAUCCAUGUCUAACAUUUCCUAACCAAACAUAUAGCAACUAGCUUAUAUACGAUGGUUUUAAAC